UGGUUUGUUUGACAUGGGUCAAAACCUUAGC
rnacentral:piRNA from 1 species